CCAACUCAAUCGUCCUUGCGGCCAGCUAAGCUACCAAAAGCCCACUAGCUAGUAGCACUAUACUCCAAUGAAUUAAUGUACUCCAGGCCAGCUAGCUAGCUAGGUCACUAGUAGUAGUUACGCUGUAGUGAUGUGAGCUGCACCUAAGAUGAAAUCCUAGUUAAAAUCCGAUUAGUUAAUUAGUUAGUUAAGUGAUGUGGUAGCUGGUUAAGUAAUUGAAGGUACUCCGAUCCUAUUAUAAAUAUGAGUGCACCCCUUGGUCCAUAGAUGUAUCUGAAUACACUGGCUAGCAAGCAAAGCUAGGUAGAGGCCAGGCCAUAGAUCGAGAUCGAUCUGCAGGUGCAGUGCGGUGGGUGGGCAUGGCGACGAAAGCUGGGGUGAUCGCCACGCUCCUGGCCCUGAACCUCCACUUCUUCACCUUCUCCGACGCGUGCGGCUGCCAGUGCGGCUCAUGCCCUAGUCCCGGCGGAGGAGGCGGUGGCGGUGGCGGUGGCGGUGGCGGUGGUGGAGGGCGUGGAGGUGGUGGCGGGAGCGGCGGAGGUUCAGGUGGAGGCGGCGGUUCAGGUGGAGGAGGAAGCGGCGGCGGAGGUUCAGGCGGUGGAGGAAGCGGAGGCGGCGGAGGAGGAGGAAGCGGCGGCGGCGGGGGAGGAGGAAGAUGCCCGAUCGACACGCUGAAGCUGGGGGUGUGCGCGAACGUGCUGAAUGGGCUGAUAAACGUGCAGCUGGGGACGCCGCCGCGGCAGCCGUGUUGCAGCCUCAUCCAGGGCCUCGCCGACCUUGAGGCCGCCGUGUGCCUCUGCACCGCCCUCCGCGCCAACAUCCUUGGCAUCAACCUCAACCUCCCCAUCAACCUCAGCCUCCUCGUCAACUACUGCGGCCGCUCCGUCCCCUCCGGCUUCCAGUGCAGCAACUAAUAUAGCUGCUGCUCCAUUCUACUUCACUGCUUGCUACACACAAGAACGUACGAAGAACGACCACCAGGCCACGUACAACUAUAUAUCUAUCUAUGUCUAAUUUGUUCCUUGUUCAAAUCAUCAUAUGUAUCUGCGUGCCUUAAUUUCCUCCUUCAUCCCGUAAAUUAAUGAGAUAUAUAUGCAUGCAUAUGAUUCAGUUCCACGACGUAAUUAAAGCAUGCUUCAUUCGUCUACUUGUAUAUGUGUAUCUGCAUAAUUGAUUAAUUAAUUUGUACUCGAUGGAU
rnacentral:lncRNA from 1 species